GACAUGAUCGCUGAUCCGGUGCGAACCGACGUUUCGCGGAAGCGUGGAUGAACCUGCAACGAGGAUGGCGGAGCCUUUUAAGUGGAGGAUAGUAUCGAUAAAUUCUUCUACCUAUAAAUGUGGCAACGCUACUGCCGCGAUUGGUCCGCCUAUCGACUAUUGUUAUCAAUUUGAGAAGACAAAAACAAUAACAAAAACGACGCCGCCAGAGUUUAAAAGUAAACUUUUUAAAAAAGCAAAUUUACAAGAAAUGCUGGUGGCCAGGGGCAAGGCGAAAAGGCUGGGCACCUAUCCCAGCUCUGAUGUGGGCCCCGUGGCAAAGGAAUAUAAUUUACUACGCGCUGAUGAAGAGUACCGUAAUGGCAAUGUGGAGCACUCCAUUUACUACCAGGUCAAGGCUCAGUUCCAGUCCACGGAUCUACGCUACAUCACCGAGGCGGAGGAACUGCAGAAGCAGCGUCCCACAACGGAGCAGCUACUCCAAGUGGCCUCCAAGCAGGAGAAGAGUGACUUUAAAAGCAACCAAUUUCUGCAGAACACCCUCAAGUAUGUGCAGCAAAAGGAGCGUGAAAACCCUCCAAAGAAACUACCAUUGAGUGCCCUCGAGCACCUGGACUUCCUGGAGGAUGUGGAACAGCCCGCAGAGGGUCUAAAGCGCAUCUCGAACAUUUGCCAACGCCUGCCCAAUGAGUGGUGCAUACUGCAGCUCUGCAAGAGCUUCAAUCCCGCCACCACCUACUCUGUGUUCAAUGAGAUUCAGCCAAGCCCUGGGGCCAUAUAUCUCUCGCUACUCAGCCACUGUCGCAGUCCCCAGUUGGGGCCAAUUUGUCUGCGUUUCAAGGGCAGCCAUAUGGGCAAACUCUUUCGGGAGUACAGCACACUGGUGGAUAGAUUCAAGCGAGUGGUCACCGUUGAUCCCCUGAAUAUGAAGGGCAAGGAGGCAAAGCAGAAAUAUUGGGAGGAGCUGGACGCCUUUUCUGUGUUUUUGAAAAAACUGGUCUCCGACCUGCGGGACAUCAUUGCCCCUUAUAGGUUCCUAUUCUUUGGCAAACGCUACGACUGCAGUGCUGUGCACAAACAAACAAAGAUUAUUAAUACUCUCGUGGAUGACUUUUGUCUGGCUAACCAAUGGAGUAAACAUCAGCGUGUUAUAUUCUCUCAAGCGGCUAUGCACGCCAAUCGAUUGGACGCCGCAGAUCUCAAGCUUAUAUGCCAUGAGCUAUCCCGCAACCACAAGAAAACCCAGGCGGUGUACGAUAUGCUCAAGGGAUUUGCCAGCGAUUGGACGCAGCUGGAGGAGCGUCAUAAGCUGGUUGCCAAGAGAUAUCCCACUAUACUCGUGGUAGAUGAGCGUCUGGACCACCUCCACUGGGAGCAAAUGGUCACAGUACAGGAGUUCAGCCGCGUCAAGUCGCUGCACUGCCUCUGGCGUUUGUUCCAGCAUCACAAAGCUGAUAUCAAGCAUGGAUAUUACACCACAACUAUCAAGCAGGGAAUGUGUGUGAUCAAUCCUGAUGCAGAUCUAAUGAACUCUGGCCGCAGGCUGCGUAGUUUCUUUGAAUACUGGCUCUCGGAUUGGCAGCAUCUCUUCGAGACCGUGCCCACCGAGGAGGUGAUGGUGAAGCAGGCCUACCAAACGGAUUGUUUUGUCUAUGCUGGUCACGGCUCUGGUUUGCAGUAUGUGAAUGCACGCCUGGUUUGCAGGGCCAGGGUACGAAGUGUGGUCUUUCUAUUUGGCUGUGACUCAACGAGAAUGCUGGGCACAGGUUUAUAUAGUGCCUUAUACGGAGCCCAUGACUAUUACCAUGGAGCUCUGUGCCCCUCUGUGGUGGGGACUUUAAUGCCUGCCUUGGACGGCAAUAUGGAUACGAUUUCGGUGACAGUGAUGAGCCUUUGGCUGGCUCCUGGUGAUAAGCAAGUGAUACCCUGGACGCAUAUCGAUCGUACAACCUGGCUCAAAAAGGGUAUUAUUAAAGGCAAAGAACAGGAGAACACGCCCUUGAUGAGCCAGCAACCCAACUACCAUCUAGGCAGCCUGUGCUCCAUCCUCUCGCUGGUGCAGCAGGGCAAGGUGGAGCCGAGCAUUUACAACUGCUGCAUUUACGUGUGCCGAGGCCUGCCUGCCUGGAAUUUGGCCGUGGAAAAUAUGCCUUUCUAGUACAAUAUGUGUUCGUUUUUGCGCAAAAAAGGAAAGCCAGACUAUCCCAAAAAGGAAACAACUUUCAACUAAGUUGAAUAAACAAAAGUGAUAUCUUUCGGGAAUUUAGCAUAAAACUAUUGCGUCGCAGGGAAUGGAAUCUGGAAUCUGGAAUCCACAACAAAAAUCCCAUAUAUUCCAUGCCAUAAUUGAAAGUAAAGAAAGAAAAAAAGGAAGGUUCAUUGACCGUCAGACAAAAGAAAGACCCGGGCUACGGACCAAGAAUGGCAAUCUAACCAAAUGAACUUUAACACAAAAGCCAAGCUUCGUGGCCCAAGAUGGAGUUGCGAGUUAGAAUCUAGCCGAAAAAUUACCCAACUGGUUAGAAGGCGACUCAGUCGGUCAUACUUUCAAAUUGCAAUAAAGACGCGGAAAGCAAAAGAAAGAAGAAAAAAAUAAAGAAUUGCAAUUGCAGUCAGAAGAAA